rnacentral:tRNA from 1 species
GGGGAUGGGCUUUGGCUCACUGGACGAGCUUCUACUUUGCUUUCAGAAAGUCCCAGGUUCGAUCCCCGGCAUCUCCA